rnacentral:rRNA from 1 species
AUGGCAGCUUACAAAAGUGUAACUGACAUUGAUGCAAUGAAAAGUCGUGGGUAUCAAACAGGAUUAGAUACCCUGGUAGUACCCAGCCGUAAACUAUGAUUACUCAGAGUAUGCGAUAUAAUGUAUGCUCUCAAGYGAAAGCAUUAAGUAAUCCACCUGGGGAGUACGUCGGCAACGAUGAAACUCAAAGGACUUAACGGGGGCCCGCACAAGCGGAGGAACAUGUGGUUUAAUUCGAUGAUACGCGAGGAACCUUACCUGGGAUUGAAAUGUAUAGGACAGGGGAUGGAAACAUUACUUUUUCUCUUCGGAGACUUAUAUGUAGGUGCUGCAUGGUUGUCGUCAGCUCGUGCCGUGAGGUGUCGGCUUAAGUGCCAUAACGAGCGCAACCCUUAUCGUUAGUUACUAGCAGGUAGUGCUGAGGACUCUAGCGAGACUGCCGUCGUAAGGCGAGAGGAAGGUGGGGAUGACGUCAAAUCAGCACGGCCCUUAUAUCCAGGGCGACACACGUGUUACAAUGGUGAGGACAAAGGGUAGCUACCUGGUGACAGGAUGCCAAUCUCCAAACCUCAUCUCAGUUCGGAUCGAUUUCUGCAACUCGACUUCGGGAAGCUGGAUUCGCUAGUAAUCGCGCAUCAGCCAUGGCGCGGUGAAUACGUUCCCGGGCCUUGUACACACCGCCCGUCGAGCCAUGA